rnacentral:rRNA from 1 species
UACGGAGGGUGCAAACGUUAUCCGGAUUCACUGGGUUUAAAGGGCGCGUAGGUGGCUUUGUAAGUCAGUGGUGAAAUCUCGGAGCUUAACUCCGAAACUGCCAUUGAUACUGCUUAGCUUGAAUCAAGUAGAGGUGGAUGGAAUAUUACAUGUAGCGGUGAAAUGCUUAGAUAUGUAAUAGAACACCGAUUGCGAAGGCAGUUCACUAGGCUUGUAUUGACACUGAGGCACGAAAGCGUGGGGAGCAAACAGG